AGUCGUGCUGCUGGGACUCCUGCGUGUGAAGGAGGCUGGCAUCGGUCCCAGUUUCUCCUUUGAAAUUCAGCAGAAGGUCCUGAUGGAGGAGGAUGAUACCCAGAGAGAGGAGCCCAAAGAAGAUGGAAUUGGUGAUGUGCAACAUUUCGAUUCCAGCAAGAUUAUGUCUGAGCAUAGCCACAUGCAAAAUGGUAGCUUAGAGGAAAGCUUUGCAGUGCAUUCCCUUGAGAACGAUUCCCAAAACAUGAUGGAGACCCUAAGCCCAAAGAAAUACUCUUCCAGUCUGAGAUUUAAAGCCAAUGGAGACUACUCUGGCUCCUAUUUAACCCUCUCACAACCUGUGCCGGCUAAGAGAAGCCCUUCUCCUUUGGGGACUAGUGUCAGAAGUAGCCCCUCCCUGGCCAAAAUCCAGGGAAGCAAGCAGUUCUCUUGUGAUGGAACUGACAAAAACAUUUCCGUGAAACCUCCCACUCCUGUGCUCAGCACCACCCCCUCCCUCAGUGGAUAUCCGCUUGGGAGAGCGGACUUUGAGCAUUAUACUGGCCGGGACAAUGAAAGGUCCUUAAGGCUCUCAGAGAAGCCUCCCUAUUCCAAAUAUAGCUCAAGGAAUAAAUCACAUGACAGUGUCUACUUUCUCGGAGGGCUGGAAGGACGCAAGGCAUCUGGCUCACUCCUGGCCAUGUGGAAUGGAGGUUCCCUGAGUGAUACUGGCCCCUCUCCCAUCAGCAGAUCAGGGGCAGCAAGCAUGCCUUCAAGCCCAAAGCAAGCCAGGAAAAUGGACAUUCAGGACAACCUGACACUUCAGCCCAAGUUAAGCAGACAAAAGGAGCCAGCGUCUGAAAACACCAGUUUAAGAACUAGGAAGUACUCUAGCAGCAGCCUAAGUCACAUGGGAGCCUAUAGCCGAUCGCUUCCCAGGUUGUACAAAGCCACAGAGAACCAGCUGACGCCUCUCAGCUUGCCUCCAAGAAACUCUCUGGGCAAUUCCAAACGAACAAAACUGGGAGAAAAGGAUCUACCUCAUACCAUAAUAGACAACGACAAUUACCUUAAUUUUUCUUCUUUAAGCUCAGGGGCUUUACCCUAUAAAACCUCUGCAUCUGAGGCCAAUCCUUAUGUAAGUUCCACCCUCAGUGUCCCUGCCAGUCCUCGAGUAGCUCGGAAGAUGCUUCUGGCCUCCACCUCGUCCUGUGCCUCUGAUGACUUUGAUAGGGGACUUUCAUACUCGGGGACCAGCCCAAGUCAUUCAUUUCAUCCCGGGGAGCCGGACAGAGUGUUUGUGGCCAGGAGGAACUUCUCUUGUGGGUCUGUGGAGUUAGAUGAUGCUGAUUUGGACAGCCUCAGGCAGGCCUCAGGAACUCCUCAGCCUGUCCUUCGCGAACGGAAAAGCAGCAUUAGCUCCAUUUCAGGAGGCGAUGACCUGAUGGAUUAUCACCGGCGACAGAGGGAGGAAAGACUCAGGGAGCAGGAGAUGGAGCGAUUGGUAAUCUUCGUCUGUUGACCUCACUGUUUCAUUGACCAGCACCUCCAGGGCAGCCUUGGAGACAGAAUCCAUGCAUAUGUGUGUGUUGGGUGGGGGGGAUUUCCAUGUGCACAAGCCACUGCUUUUUCUCCUAGAUUCUCUCUUGCUGUCUUUCCUCUUCUCAAGCCACUGUUAUUAGUCAUGGGUGGU